AUUGUUUUGCACUAGUUCAUUUGUUCCUCUGCACUUCUGCAGGCACUCCUGAGGGUGUAGGUCCUGUUAGAGUAGGCCAGAAGAUCAAAGAUGGUAUAACUGAUCUCAUUGAUGUGGAAUUUGAUGUUCAGAGGCGCAAUCGGUCAUUUUCUGGAGAUGCAAUUAGCAAUGAGUAACGUGGCGAUGAGUCUCUUCUCUUGAAGAUGCACAAGGCAGUGCUUACACUUCUUUUGGCUUCUCGACUUCUGGAUAAAACUAUUAGAUGGUCCUGUAAUUAGUAUUCACCAGCAUGGCUCAAAGUGACAAGUCGAGAUUUAGUUCUCAUAGAAUGCCAUUAGGAUCAACUUAUGUACUAGUUCAGAUCGGUGGCUUUAGGAACUGCUAAAAAUAAAGUAGAAGAUUAGAGGAGCCACUGUAAUGUAUGUAUGAGCAUAGAUGUAUGAACAUAUGUAUAUGUGAUUAGAGGAGGAACUAUGAUGCAUAUAUGGCCUAUUCUUUUU